GAAGAACAUUCCCACUUUCUCUUCAACACCAUUGUCCUCCCCUCUCUUCUUCUUCGUCUCUUUUCUAUCAUCAUCAUGUCAGAUUCAAAAUAUUUCUUUCACCAUUUUUUUUGUUAUAUCCAACAUCAAGAGAGAUCAAGAACCAUGUACCCAUCGCUCUUGAGAUGGAGAACAUCUAAUAUUCCACAUGGAGGAACUAUUUAAGAUUCACGCGAUCCCAUUGAUUUCUUGACCAUAUUAUUCCUUUGGCAAAGUGCAAGAAGAAUCUGCCAAAAACAAAUGAGGAUAAAGAGCUUUGGUUUACUAUUGAUGCUACCAUUCUACAUUGUAUAUACGUCAUUAUAUCUCAUUAUAUUCUCCAUACGAUUCUUGAUCCAAGCACCAUGGUAAUGGAGAUUUCAAAUAGAUUGUGUGACAUAUUCAAAGAUAAUAAACACUCUCGUGCCGUCACCCUUGAGUACAAUUUCAUUCAUGUGAACAUGAAAUAUUUUCCAAGUGUCUCCGCAUAUUGUCAGCACCUCAAAUCUUUUACGGACAAACUCAAGAAUGUCAGCUUUCCCCUUGAUAACAAUAGACUAGUUCUUCAACUAGUUUCUUGCCUCAUCGAACCCUAUAAAGGUGUGGACACUCUCAUUUGCCAACGUGAUACUUUACCCCAAUUUUAUCAUAUGCCCGUUCGAUGCUCACUCAUGAAGAGGUCGUCCUUGCUAAGAAGGCGACACAUAGAUCAUCAUAGCCAUGGUGGCUUGUGAUUCGAAUGAUUUGCAUGAUAUUGUUGAUCAUUCCUCUUCACACCGCAAUACUAAUGGUGGGAAGAUAAAUAAUACCGCAACAAUAAUCGCAACAACAAUGGUGGUCGUGGAGGCAGAAAAGGUGGUAGUAGCGGUGGGGGUAAGGCUGGAGGUGGUGGUUAGAUGGGAGGCUGAAACAACCGCGGUGGAAGACAACAGCCAGAAGUUCAGCAGACGUCGACUGACUCUCUGUAUUCUGGAGGUCAAUUGUGUGCUUGGAUGGCACCUUGGUCUCCCUAGGCUACACCUCCUUUUCCAUAUCCAUCAAAUUCGGCCAGGCCCAAUUAUGGACAAUAAUCAAAAUAACAGUCUGUUAUACUAGGGCCCAGAGUGCAGCAAGCCUACACGAUAGCGCAAACUCAAACCGACAUUGAAGCCACAAUGCACACUCCCGCAUCACUCCUCCGAAUACAAAUUGGUACAUGGACACCGGUGCUAUUUCUCACAUGACAUCCGCACAAGAAUUUUCAGAAGGGGAGACCGGUAAUGAGGUGUGAAAGUCGGGGCGAGAUGUAUUCCAUCACUACUCCAGUCACUUCUCUAUCUACUUUUGCCGCUUUGGCACCACCCAUUUGGCAUGAUCAUUUGGGUCACUCGGGAGCACCUGUUUUAACUCUCUUAGGAAGAAUAAAUUGAUUGAAUGUAAUCAAAUUAAAGACUUUCGUAUUUGUCAUUCUUGUCCUUUGGGAAAACAUGUUAAUUUGCCAUUUUAUCCUUCAAAUUAUCGUGCUAUUAUGCCAUUUGAUAUUAUCCAUAGUGAUCUUUGGACAUCACUUGUUUUGAGUUCAUCGGGUUAUCAAUAUUAUGUCUAGUUUGUGGAUGAUUAUUCAAAACUUUUGUGGAAUUUUACACACAAAUCACAAACGUUUUCCACUUUUUUGAGUUUCAAUAUCUUUAUUUGAAGCCAAUUUGGGAGAGGCAUAAAAAAUAUACAAUGCGAUAAUGACUCGGAAAUUGAUAGUAUCCCCUUUUAGGAUUUUUGUAAAGCAAAUGGUCUUUUGUUUCGUCUUUCAUGUACUCAUACAUCCCCUCAAAAUGGGAAAGCUGAAACACAAAUCCAUACGAUCAAUAACAUUGUACGUACAUUAUUGGCCUAGACUUCCCUUGUUCUUUCAUUUUGGCAUCAUGCUUUUCAAAUGGCAACUUACCUUCUCAAUAUCCUUCCUCAUAAGCUUUUAAAUUAUCAAUCUGCUCUUCGCAUUCUUUAUCAAUGAAAUCCAUCUUAUUCUCAUUUUUGGGUGUUUGGGUGUUUAUGUUAUCCUCUUAUUCCCUCUACAAUAAUAACAGACUUUAUACCUGGUCGACUCCUUGUGUUUUUUUGGGUAUCCUUCAAAUCAUCGUGGGUAUAAAUUCUUUGAGUUAUGAUCUAGAAAAAUCAUCAUUAUCCGUCACAUAAUAUUUGAUGAGACACACUUUUCCUCUGCAAAGUCUAGUACUCCUCAAAGUCACACUUAUGGGUUUCUAGAGGAUGAGCCAUCUCCCUACGUGGUCCAUCAUUUCACUACCUCUCCUAACCUACAAGUUUCACCUAUUCCUUACACAACCACCUCACCAGCCUAGAAAGUGGUUCUAACGUGCCUAGCGGGCAGCACGACCUUCCCCAAUCGAAUGUACCAAGCCCAUCUACUCCUUUCACUCUCCUAUCCAACUCUUUCCUUGCCCUACUCCAAUAUCUCCCUCACGUCUACCAAUGAGUCCGGUUACUCAGAGUUAACAUGGUAUUUCGAAACCUAAUUAAGAAGUAUUUAAACCUUCUUACAUCAAUUUCUAAAUCUACCCUACCUCGUAACCCUGUGUUUGCUCUUCGUGACUUGAAUUAGAAAGUGGCUAUGGAUGAUGAAUAAUUCUCUAAUUGAAAAUAAGACUUGGGAGUUGGUGCCCCGUCCUCCAAAUGUUAAUGUAAUUCUGUCUAUGUGGAUUUUUGCUCAUAAAGAAAGUUUGAUGGUUCAUUUGAGAGGCAUAAAGCCCGUCUUGAAGGUUAUGGAAAAACUCAAUAGGUUGGCGUGGAUUGUGGUGAGACGUUUAGUCUAGUCCUCAUACCGGCGACUAUUCGAAAGGUCUCAGUUUGUCUUUCUCUAAGGCCUACCAGAUUCAUCAACUCGACGUCAAAAAUUUCUUCCAACAUGGGGAACUCAAGGAGACUGUUUACAAGUAUCAACCUUUGGGGGUACCGAGAUCUUGAUCGCCCUAAUCAUGUGUGUUUGCUGAAGAAAUCUCUCUAUGGGCUCAAACAUGCUCCAAGGGCUUGGUAUAAGAGAUAAGCUCCGUCAGUUUAUCAUCUCUCUUCUUAGCACGGAAUUUGCUAUGAAGGACAUUGGCCAUUCGAGUUAUUUUCUAGACGUUGCAGUCACUCUUCAUGUAGGUGGUCUAUUUUUAUCACAAAAUAAAUAUGCUACAAAGAUCAUUGAACAAGCAGGCAUGUCAUCGUAUAAGGCAUCUCCUACUCCGGUUGAUACAAAACCGAAGCUCGAUACUACUAUGAGAAAACCGUUUAAGGAUCCAUCUUUUCAUAGGAGUCUUCCCGGAGAAUUUCAGUACCUUACAUUCACAAGACCCGAUGUUACAUAUGUAGUACAAGUAUGUUUAUUCAUGCAUUACAUAAGGAGGAACACAUGCACACACUUAAGUACAUUUUGCGCUUCAUACACGGUACUAUGUAUUUCAAUCUUCACAUGUUUGCUUCAUCCACAUCCACUUUUUAUUUGUAUACUGAUGUAUAUUGGGGCGGAUGACCGGAUACACGAUGUUCAACGUCGGGUUAUGUUGUGUCCAAAAUUGCAUGCUAGUGCACGUGAACACUCAAGUAGUAAAUAGACUUUUUUGAAUCUAA